GAGUUUAGUAAUGCUCGAUCUAUUCAGCUAUGUGAAGAAGAGGCGGAGCAUUAACACCAUUCACAUAAAAGUAACAUUUAACUUUGGUGACACCUUGAGCAAGAGCUCACACCUCUCACAUCAGUGCUCGGUGCAGUUUGACAAGGACCAGCCAGUUUAAUGAGGCACAGCUCUUCUGUUCUUUGUCAUUGUUCUGGGGUUGAAUGCACAGACUCAUACAGAUAUCACAUCACUCCCUGUCACUUCAAGUAUUUCUUCAGAUGAGUCUCACACAUCUCCUCAAACACCUCCUACAACAGCCCCUGCCAUUACAAGCUCUGGAUCUCAAAUAACAGCCACUGCCACUACAAGCUCUCCUUUAAACGAAUCUCAAACGUCAGUUCCUGCAACAACCUCUGCCACUGCAAGCUUUCCUUCAACUGAGUCUCAAACAUCAGCUCCUACAACAGCCACUGCCACUACAAUCUCUCCUUUAAACGAGGCUCAAACAUCAGCUCCUACAACAGCCUCUGCCACUGAAAGCUCUCCUUCAACUGAGUCUCAAACAUCAUCUCCUACAACAGCCAAUGCCACUACAAGCUCUCCUUUAAAUGAUUCUCAAACAUCAGCUCCUACAAUCUCUGUCACUGAAAGCUCUCCUUCAACUGAGUUUCAAACAUCAGCUCCUACAACAGCCAAUGCCACUACAAGCUCUCAUUUAAACAAGUCUCAAACAUCAGCUCCUACAACAGCAACUGCCACUACAAGCUCUCCUUUAAACGAGUCUCAAACAUCAGCUCCUACAACAGCCAAUGCCACUACAAGCUCUCCUUUAAACAAGUCUCAAACAUCAUCUCCUACAACAGCCCCUGCCACAAGCUCUCUUUUAACUGAGUCUCAAACAUCAGCUCCUACAACUCCUUCCACUACAAGCUCUCUUUCAACUGAGUAUCAAACAUCAGCUCCUACAACUCCUACCACUACAAGAUCUACUUCAAAUGAGUCUGAAAUAUCAACUUCUACAUCUACUUCCACUACAUGCUCUCCUUCAACUGAGUAUCAAACAUCAGUUCCUACAAGUUCCCCGAACACAGAGUCUAUCACUUCCACUGGGUAUGUUGGCAUAGUUUUGGGAGUGAUCUGUUUUCUCUUCAUCAUCACUCUCAUUCUUUUCUUCUAUUCAAGAAGACCGACCAAAAACGAAUGUCCAGGCAUCCCCAUACACACCAUUAGGUAAACUUUGUUUUAGAUCUUUAUAGUUGAAUAUUUAUUUUACAAAACUUAAAAUUGUUAAUGCAUU
ensembl:lncRNA